GACCCCUCCGAUCCCCGCUUUUAAGUACCGAAAGAGCUUUGUUGUUGUUGCUUCUGCCGUUGCCACCUUUUUUAUUUUGCUUCUUAUGGACAUCCUGGCGUGAUGGUCUAGAUGUCUUUUGAUUUCGUUUUUAUUUUGUAUCUCCACAUCAACUUUUGCUUGAAAUUUGCAUGUUGUAAGUGCUUUUUUUGUACUUAGAGGAACCAUUUUUUUUACUGUUACAUUUUGUCUGAAAUAAUAGCACUGAGUUUUUUACAUUAUUUUAUGGUUAUGUUUUUAGUACUAUAUGUAAUUUUGUAAAUAUUUAAUUCACGAAUAAAUUUUUCACUUUCU